GCAGAGCAAGAGAAGAGGAAAAGCUUGAAGCUGCAGAAUUUGCCGGAUUAACUCAGGUAAGGGGGGUUAUCGUUGAUUAACGGGUAUUAUAUGAUAAUAUGUCAUGGGUAGUGAUGGACCUUUAAUUUACCUCUGAAUUGGAUGAUUAUGAUGAAUUGUGAAUCUUUUUGGAUGAACGAAAUUGGAAUAGAAUGGAGAGGAAUUCGUAGGAAUUUGAUGUAAACGUGUUAGGUUUUGUGUAAUCGAAUAAGAUAUGAAUGGUGUUGAG
rnacentral:lncRNA from 1 species